CAAAGCCCCAGAGAUCCUGCUGGGGGUGCCUUCUCGUUGGGCAGGAAGAGAGGGACUGGGACCCGCGGGCAUCCGGUGAGGCCCAUGUUGCCACACCUAGAACCAUGCUUGAGGACAAGGACUGGACGGCCCACAGGUUAUUGGAGCCUGAGUUAAGGUGGAGCCAGGUGCAGUGGCUCACGUCUGUAACCCCAGAGCUCAGGAGGCUGAGGCA
rnacentral:lncRNA from 1 species